rnacentral:rRNA from 1 species
GACGAACGCUGGCGGCGUGCUUAACACAUGCAAGUCGAACGAAGAGCGAUGGAAGCUUGCUUCUAUCAAUCUUAGUGGCGAACGGGUGAGUAACGCGUAAUCAACCUGCCCUUCAGAGGGGGACAACAGUUGGAAACGACUGCUAAUACCGCAUACGAUCUAAUCUCGGCAUCGAGGAUAGAUGAAAGGUGGCCUCUACAUGUAAGCUAUCACUGAAGGAGGGGAUUGCGUCUGAUUAGCUAGUUGGAGGGGUAACGGCCCACCAAGGCGAUGAUCAGUAGCCGGUCUGAGAGGAUGAACGGCCACAUUGGGACUGAGACACGGCCCAGACUCCUACGGGAGGCAGCAGUGGGGAAUCUUCCGCAAUGGUCGAAAGUCUGACGGAGCAACGCCGCGUGAGUGAUGACGGCCUUCGGGUUGUAAAGCUCUGUUAAUCGGGACGAAAGGCCUUCUUGCGAAUAGUGAGAAGGAUUGACGGUACCGGAAUAGAAAGCCACGGCUAACUACGUG